GCAUAACUUACUUCGGAAAGAGUGGCUAAUACCGCAUGAGAUCUAUGGAUGAAAGCAGGGGACCUUCGGGCCUUGUGCUACUAGAGCGGCCGAUGGCAGAUUAGGUAGUUGGUGGGAUAAAAGCUUACCAAGCCUACGAUCUGUAGCUGGUCUGAGAGGACGAUCAGCCACACUGGGACUGAGACACGGCCCAGACUCCUACGGGAGGCAGCAGUGGGGAAUUUUGGACAAUGGGCGCAAGCCUGAUCCAGCAAUGCCGCGUGCAGGAUGAAGGCCUUCGGGUUGUAAACUGCUUUUGUACGGAACGAAAAGUCUUGGGUUAAUACCCUGGGGUCAUGACGGUACCGUAAGAAUAAGCACCGGCUAACUACGUGCCAGCAGCCGCGGUAAUACGUAGGGUGCAAGCGUUAAUCGGAAUUACUGGGCGUAAAGCGUGCGCAGGCGGUUUUGUAAGACAGUGGUGAAAUCCCCGGGCUCAACCUGGGAACUGCCAUUGUGACUGCAAGGCUGGAGUGCGGCAGAGGGGGAUGGAAUUCCGCGUGUAGCAGUGAAAUGCGUAGAUAUGCGGAG
rnacentral:rRNA from 1 species